CAGGGACUCGUAGACCCAGUUGGUUCAUAAAAAGCAGAAGCUUUGCUUUCCUAACAGACGGAAACAGGCAGGUGUGCAGUUCAGGAGCUGGGCCCUCUUGGUCUUUCUUGCUUUUUGCAGCCAUUUAAGGUGUGAUGUUUGCAUUCAGUGAGUGCAUACUCCAUAAGACCCUGUCAAACAAAUGCCAUUCCCCUUUCCAGGAAUGUAUGAAUCGCUGCUGCAAUGCCACCACCUGUACCCUGAAGCCGGACGCUGUGUGCGCACAUGGGCUGUGCUGUGAAGACUGCCAGCUGAAGCCUGCAGGAACAGCGUGCAGGGACUCCAGCAACUCCUGUGACCUCCCAGAGUUCUGCACAGGGGCCAGCCCUCACUGCCCAGCCAACGUGUACCUGCACGAUGGGCACUCAUGUCAGGAUGUGGACGGCUACUGCUACAAUGGCAUCUGCCAGACUCACGAGCAGCAGUGUGUCACGCUCUGGGGACCAGGUACGUGGCCGCCACAAGCUCGGCAUCAGGAGAGGCACUGGCAGACCUGGGCUGUGGGACUGGGGGCAUGUGCUCUGUUUUGGUUAGCCCCCACUCCUGGCGGGCGCUGUC
rnacentral:lncRNA from 1 species